rnacentral:lncRNA from 1 species
UUAUGUCCAACACGCCAUGCGAAGACAUGUAUUUUCGGGAGCAUUUUUAGGUUCCAUAUAACUUUCCAGUAAGCUCUGUGAGGGCCAAAACCAAUAUAUCGAAGAAGGAGUCAAGAGUACGCCAUUUUUGAAGUGAAAUAGCCAUAAGGGUUUUGAAACCAGACCAUCCUGUCAUUUGACCCAUUUCUAUUGAGUGGCAAAUUGCAAAUUUGAUCCCCCA